rfam:Daphnia pulex DAPPTscaffold_761_Cont10921, whole genome shotgun sequence.
GCCCGGUUAGCUCAGAUGGUAGAGCGCGGGACUUUUAAUCCUGAGGUCGAGGGUUCAAGUCCCUCAUCUGGCG